UACGGGGGGGGCAAGCGUUGUUCGGAAUUACUGGGCGUAAAGGGCUCGUAGGCGGCCAACUAAGUCGGACGUGAAAUCCCCAGGCUCAACCUGGGAACUGCGUCCGAUACUGGAUGGCUUGAAUUCGGGAGAGGGAUGCAGAAUUCCAGGUGUAGCGGUGAAAUGCGUAGAUAUCGGAAGGAACAUCAGUGGCGAAGGCGACUUCCUGGACCAAUACUGACGCUCAGGUGCGAAAGCGUGGGGAGCAAACAGG
rnacentral:rRNA from 1 species